rnacentral:rRNA from 1 species
GAUGAACGCUGGCGGCGUGCCUAAUACAUGCAAGUCGAGCGAACAGACGAGGAGCUUGCUCCUCUGACGUUAGCGGCGGACGGGUGAGUAACACGUGGAUAACCUACCUAUCAGACUGGGAUAACUUCGGGAAACCGGAGCUAAUACCGGAUAAUAUAUUGAACCGCAUGGUUCAAUAGUGAAAGACGGUUUUGCUGUCACUUAUAGAUGGAUCCGCGCCGCAUUAGCUAGUUGGUAAGGUAACGGCUUACCAAGGCAACGAUGCGUAGCCGACCGGAGAGGGUGAUCGGCCACACUGGAACUGAAACACGGUCCAGACUCCUACGGGAGGCAGCAGUAGGGAAUCUUCCGCAAUGGGCGAAAGCCUGACGGAGCAACGCCGAGUGAGUGAUGAAGGUCUUCGGAUCGUAAAACUCUGUUAUUAGGGAAGAACAAAUGUGUAAGUAACUAUGCACGUCUUGACGGUACCUAAUCAGAAAGCCACGGCUAACUACGUG